rnacentral:rRNA from 1 species
CGUAGGGUGCGAGCGUUAAUCGGAAUUACUGGGCGUAAAGUGUGCGCAGGCGGCCUCGCAAGUCAAGUGUGAAAGCCCCGGGCUUAACCUGGGAACUGCGCUUGAAACUACGGGGCUCGAGUGUGGCAGAGGAAGGUGGAAUUCCACGUGUAGCGGUGAAAUGCGUAGAGAUGUGGAGGAACACCGAUGGCGAAGGCAGCCUUCUGGGCCAACACUGACGCUCAUGCACGAAAGCGUGGGGAGCAAACAGGAUUAGAUACCCUGGUAGUCCACGCCCUAAACGAUGAUGACUAGUUGUUGGAGGAGUUAAAUCCUUUAGUAACGCAGCUAACGCGUGAAGUCAUCCGCCUGGGGAGUACGGUCGCAAGAUUA